UAAUGACUGUUCCUCCUGUUGCCUGUAGGCAUGGCACUAGGAUUUCAGGGCAUCAUAAAUGAAAGUUGAUUUUUUUUACUCAGAGAAUAUCAAGAUAUUGGGAUUAUCUAUGUAUUCUCUGAAAUUCUCUGAAAUUU